AACGCGAAGAACCUUACCAAGGUUUGACAUGGACGGAAAUCCUCCAGAGAUGGGGGGUCCUUCGGGGCCGUUCACAGGUGGUGCAUGGCUGUCGUCAGCUCGUGUCGUGAGAUGUUGGGUUAAGUCCCGCAACGAGCGCAACCCUCGUCCCAUGUUGCCAGCGGGUUAUGCCGGGGACUCAUGGGAGACUGCCGGGGUCAACUCGGAGGAAGGUGGGGAUGACGUCAAGUCAUCAUGCCCCUUAUGUCUUGGGCUGCAAACAUGCUACAAUGGCCGGUACAAAGGGCUGCAAACCCGUGAGGGCAAGCGAAUCCCGGAAAGCCGGUCUCAGUUCGGAUCGGGGUCUGCAACUCGGCCCCGUGAAGCCGGAGUCGCUAGUAAUCGCGGAUCAGCAACGCCGCGGUGAAUACGUUCCCGGGCCUUGUA
rnacentral:rRNA from 1 species